CCGACCGGGCUGAGCGCACCCUCUUCUAGAACACCCAGGGCAUGGAAUGGGAAGUGGAGGAGGUCGUCCAGCGCCUCCUAGCUCCUCCACAGCAGGUGGCGGGAGCCUAGGUUGCAUUCCCAGAGCUGGAGGGGCUGCAAGGUGGUUUAGGUCCCGGCUACCGGGCGAUCCCGGGAUCUGAAGGGCCAGCUAGAGCGUGCAAACUUUUUCCCGUGGUGGUGACCGGCUCCGCGCGGUAUUGCUUUGCUCGGGUGCUUCUUCCAUCCUAUGGAAGGGGUGGAGGUCCCUGGGUUCCGGAGACGUGAGCAGGCGGCGGCGAGACUCCCAGGCCCUCGGCCGGCUAUCGGAAAGGGCGGCGAGAGCAGAGGAGGAUUGGGUCUCAAGACUCAGCCCUCAGUCCUCGUCUUGAGAAUUCUUCUGCGGCAUGGUCCUUUGAGUGAAUGACCUCUUUGGAGACCAUUCCUCUGCUCCUCUUGCUACCAUCCAGGAGGCAGAAGAUUCCACAGGUCCAGAAAAGGCCCAUUGUUCCCAGCUUUCAAGAAACUAUCUCAUGCUUGGGGCAUUAGGAUGACCAUGGCUCUUGUAUUCGGUGUCCUGCUGCUACUGGGGCUGUGUGGAAAUAUUGCUUCAGGAGGUCAGCCUGUGUCCACAAGCACUCCUGGGGCUUUGGAUUAUGAAUUGCCUACCUCAGAGUAUGAGACCCCAGACACAUUCAAUGCCGGGACCGUUGGCCCUCUCUACCGAAUGGUGCACAUCUUCCUCCAGGUGGUCCAGCCGAAUGAUUUCCCCCAAGAUAUGAUCAGAAAAAUCAUACAGAGGAAUUUUGACUUCUCAGUUGACUCAAAGGAGAUUGCCUACUAUGAAAUUGGAAUCCUUGUCUGCACCAUCCUGGGACUGCUCUUUAUUAUCCUCAUGCCUCUGGUGGGCUACUUCUUCUGUGUGUGCCGCUGUUGUAACAAAUGUGGCGGAGAGAUGCACCAGCGGCAGAAGGAGAACGAGUCGUGCCGGAGGAAAAGCUUUGCUCUUUCACUCUUGGUCAUUUGUCUGCUCAUGAGCCUUGGCAUCAUGUAUGGUUUUGUGGCCAACCACCAGGUAAGGACCACGAUCAAAAGGACCGAGAAUCUGACAGAGAGCAAUUUCAGAGACUUGCAAACAUUCCUGAAUGAAACCCCAAAGCAAAUUGACUAUAUACUGGCUCAGUACACCAACACCAAGAACAAGGCAUUCUCAGACCUGGAUGGUGUUGAUUCCUUGCUGGGAGGCAGAAUAAAGGACCAAGUAAAACCCAAAGUAAUCCCCGUUCUCGAUGAGAUUAAGGCCAUGGUGACAGCCAUCAGGCAGACCAGGGACACCCUGAAGAGCAUGAAUGACAGCCUUACGCGCAUACAUGACAGGAGCGCACAACUCAGCGCCAACCUGACCGAUGUGAAAAAAAGCAUGGAGACUUCGCUCAACAACAACUGUGCUUCAGAGCCGGCCAAAGAUAUCUGUGACAACAUCAGAUCAGAGCUAAGCAAUCUGGGGAGCAACCUCGAUCCCAACCAGCUCCCGUCUGUGGAUGAAGAACUCACCAAAGUCAAUGACAUCUGCAAGACUGAUCUGGAGAGCCUCGUCGACAAGGGGUACGCGUCGAUUGAUGAAAUACCUGGUAAGGUAAAAGAGCAAACCGUGGAUGUCGUCGCAGACGUCAAAAGGGCCUUGGAUUCCGUCAGCUCCACCGUUCAGAACGUGAGCCAAAGUCUUCCUAUUGAGGAGGUGCUGUCCCAGGUCUCCCGUUACCUUAACGACAGCAACAGUUACUUCCGCCAGGAGCUGCCCAAACUGGAAGAAUACGACUCAUACUGGUGGCUGGGUGGCUUGAUUGUCUGCUUCCUGCUGACCCUCAUUGUGACCUUCUUCUUCCUGGGCUUGCUGUGUGGUGUGUGUGGCUACGACAGGCAUGCCACCCCAACCAGAAGAGGCUGCGUGUCCAACACUGGAGGCAUCUUCCUCAUGGCCGGGGUUGGAUUCAGCUUCCUCUUUUGCUGGAUAUUGAUGAUCCUUGUGGUUCUUACUUUUGUCGUUGGUGCAAAUGUGGAAAAGUUGAUCUGUGAACCUUAUGCAAACAAGCAAUUAUUACAGCUUUUGGACACUCCCCACCUGCUAAGAGAAGACUGGCAGUUCUAUCUCUCGGGCCUGAUGCUCAACAACCCAAACAUUAACCUGACAUUUGAACAAGUUUACAGUGAUUGCAAAAAAGGUCGGGGUGUAUACGCUACCUUUCAGCUUGAGCAUGUUUUCAACGUCAGCGAGAAUUUCAACAUUGAGAAGCAUACUGGAAAAAUAAUCAAGGAGUUGGACAACCUGAAUGUGGAUAUUGAUAACAUUGAACUGCUCAACAAAACAGGAAGGGACAAUCUGCAGAACUUUGUAAAAUCCGGGAUAGAUGCAAUCGAUUAUCCCACGUACUUGAAGGAGGCUGAGAAAUCUCCUACCAUAGUAGAUCUGCUGGUGGUUGCUUCUUCUCUGGAAGAAAAGACAGACAAGUUGCCUGACGGAAACCUGAAGCAGGACUUGAAAACACAGGUGCAGAGAAUUAAAGACAUUCACGAGCAGGAAGUCCUUCCUCUGCAGAAAUCACUGAAUACUUUAAAACAAAAUAUCCGGACACUUGAGCACAUAAGCGAGAAGUUGCCGGAGAGAGUGAACAAGACCAUCAUGUCUUUGGAUUCUGCUCAGAAUUUCCUCAUCAGUAACAUUUCCUCUAUUGUUAUUGAAGAAACGAAGAAGUUUGCGAAAACAAUAGUAGGCUACUUUGAACACUACCUGCACUGGGUCUUGUAUGCCGUCACAGAGAAGAUGACAUCCUGCAAACCUGUGGUCACUGCGAUGGACUCGGCUGUCAGUGGUGUUCUGUGUAGCUAUGCUACUGACCCUCUGAAUUUGUUCUGGUUCGGCAUCGGACAAGCUACGGUGCUCUUGCUUCCCGCUGUGAUCAUCGCUGUCAAGCUGGCCAAGUACUAUCGCAGGAUGGAUUCAGAGGACAUAUAUGACGAUGUUGAAACUGUCCCCAUGAAAAAUUUGGAAAACGGUAGUAAUGGUUAUCAUAAAGAUCACUUAUAUGGUGUUCACAAUCCCGUUAUGACAAGGUAAAAGAAAGCCUGGAGUGCAUGCCUAGCCUGGGCCCAUCUCGUUACUGACAAUUGAAAAGGAAAAUUGCUUGAGCGUCAAGGCAGUCAAAGUGGAAAGGAUCCCAGACUUUGGAUAGUUUCUGAGUCUUCUAGAACUUUCCAAGUCCAGAAGGAAUCAUGGUGGCAAAUGUGGAGACUCAGGCGGGCACUGAGAACAUGGCACCAGUGGUCUUAGGGUAUAGCACUUUGUCAGGAACGAACAGUCAUGGCUAUAAUCCACGUGUCCAUCGCUAUCCAAGGAUGACUCUCCCCUGUUUUUAACUUUUUUUUACAUUGAAUUUCUAUUAGACACUAAAAUAUAUGGGGCUUCUUGGUCCCGCUGGAUACAUUCACCUUUGAGCCAGCUCUUUGGAUGUCAUAGCUGCGUACCUAACUUACUUCCAUAUGUGGAGUGUGCUAAACACAAACCAGUUUACAAAAAAAAAAAAAAGGUGUAUUUUGCAUAUAGUAAAUUGUAUAUAUACUCUUCUACCACAGUCGGGGUUUUUUUUUUUUUUACACAAAUGAAUACUCUAGAUUUUUCUCCUAAAUGAGGUUCCCUUUGGGUUGGGCUAUAGAAAGGAUUCUGUAUGCAUCGAAAGUGUGUGAGCCCUGCAGCAGGCCCGUCCUUCCUCGUGGAUCUUCCUCUGCUGGUUGCCAGUCUGCCUGUUGGACAAAAAGAUGCCUGCUUGACACUACUGGCAAAUUCAGAACAGAGAGAACUCGAGAGAAGGAAGCAUCGCUCAGCCAGAAGCGGAAUGGUUUUCACAGAUGCCAGGCCUGGUUCACGGUUUAGUGGCACACUUUCUGAUUUGUGAGGGUGGGCUAUAAGUUCUGUGUCAUCUGAUUAUUAGUGGGGUUCUAAAAUGAGGGGCAAGAACACCUGUCAUGAUUCUGAGAUCUGAAAUAAAGCGUGGAUGAAUGGA